ensembl:miRNA sha-mir-125b sha-mir-125b
UCCAAAAUAUCCGUACUAUAGAAGAAAGAAUUCUACUGCAUCAAAUAAGACUUUUCCUAGUCCCUGAGACCCUAACUUGUGAGAUUUUUUAGCAAUAAUCACAGGUCAGGCUCUUGGGACCUAGGCGGAGGGGAACCAGCAGCUCUGGAC